rnacentral:rRNA from 1 species
CAAUAGCGUAUAUUAAAGUUGUUGCGGUUAAAAAGCUCGUAGUUGGAUUUCUGCCGAGGACGACCGGUCCGCCCUCUGGGUGAGCAUCUGGGAUGGCCUGGGCAUCUUCUUGGAGAACGUGUCUGCACUUGACUGUGUGGGGCGGUAUCCAGGACUUUUACUUUGAGGAAAUUAGAGUGUUUCAAGCAGGCAUACGCCUUGAAUACAUUAGCAUGGAAUAAUAAGAUAGGACCUCGGUUCUAUUUUGUUGGUUUCUAGAGCUGAGGUAAUGAUUAAUAGGGAUAGUUGGGGCAGUUCGUAUUUAACUGUCAGAGGUGAAAUUCUUGGAUUUCCGAAAGACGAACUACUGCGAAAGCAUUUACCAAGGAUGUUUUCAUUAAUCAAGAACGAAAGUUAGGGGAUCGAAGACGAUCAGAUACCA